CAGUCGCCGCGGUAAUACGUAGGUGGCAAGCGUUGUCCGGAAUUAUUGGGCGUAAAGCGGGCGCAGACGGUUACUUAAGCAGGAUGUGAAAUCCCCGGGCUCAACCUGGGAACUGCGUUCUGAACUGGGUGACUAGAGUGCGUCAGAGGGAGGUAGAAUUCCACGUGUAGCAGUGAAAUGCGUAGAGAUGUGGAGGAACACCGAUGGCGAAGGCAGCCCCCUGGGCCAAUACUGACGCUCAUGCACGAAAGCGUGGGGAGCAAACAGGAUUAGAUACCCCUGUAGUCCCUGUCUCUUAUAA
rnacentral:rRNA from 1 species